CACCGUGUGGUGUACUGGCUUGAACAUUGGUCUACAACUCUAGAAACCAGGGUUCAAAUCCCUGCUUGGCCA